CCUACGGGAGGCAGCAGUGAGGAAUAUUGGUCAAUGGACGAGAGUCUGAACCAGCCAAGUAGCGUGAAGGAUGACUGCCCUAUGGGUUGUAAACUUCUUUUAUAUGGGAAUAAAAUGUUCCACGUGUGGGAUUUUGUAUGUACCAUACGAAUAAGGCACGGCUAACUCCGUUCCAGCAGCCGCGGUAAUACGGAGGAUGCGAGCGUUAUCCGGAUUUAUUGGGUUUAAAGGGUGCGCAGGCGGAUGUUUAAGUCAGCGGUAAAAUCGUGGGGCUCAACCCCAUCCAGCCGUUGAAACUGGGGAGCUAGAGUGUGCGAGAGGUAUGCGGAAUGCGUGGUGUAGCGGUGAAAUGCAUAGAUAUCACGCAGAACCCCGAUUGCGAAGGCAGCAUACCGGUGCACAACUGACGCUCAGGCACGAAAGCGUGGGUAUCGAACAGGAUUAGAUACCCGGGUAGUC
rnacentral:rRNA from 1 species